rnacentral:antisense_RNA from 2 species
UGUGGGAGCGGGCUUGCUCGCGAAGAGGGAGUGUCAGUUAGUUAAUGUUUGGCUGAUACACCGCUUUCGCGAGCAAGCCCGCUCCCACA